UUGCUGACUCUUGUUCUCAUUUCUGAAGUAGCCUUAAUUAUUUUUGGUUUCUUUCACUUACUAGGCUUUGUUAGGUUCUUAGAGUUGUCCUUCUGCUGGUUCUUCAGAGUGAUCCUUUUCUAAUCCGUUCUAUUUUAUUUUAGCUAU
rnacentral:sRNA from 1 species